ensembl:lncRNA
CUUUUGGUCAAAACAGCCACAAGCCUGGCCCAGCAUACAGAGCAGCAGAGAAAUAGCUCCUACUUUUCCGUGUCAGAGUGACAGUCAUGGCUUCUGUCCUUGAGAAACUUUUCAGUUUAUUUAACAAGCAUUAGCCAAGCAGGUGCCAAACACUGUCUAGGUGCUACUAGGAAACACCAUCAUCUCUGCCUUCAUGGACUUCACACUCCGCUAGAGGGUUUUGACAGCAUAGACAAUGUGUACGAACAAUUGCUUCUGAAGCUGUCCUGGGAGUCUCAGAGUGCAGAGCUAGGAGCUGGAAAAUCCCAGACUCCUGGCCUGAAAGAGACCUGAAGAAGCCACUGUUCUGGGAAAACUGAGAGUUCUGCAGUGAAAGAUUAGCUACUCUAUUUAAGAACAUUAUUUGACUUCACACACACACACACACAAAUAUUACAGCAAGACUGAUGAAAAACUAAAAAAUUUAAAAAUUCACCCAUGAUGUCAUCAUGACCAUAAAAUAGCCUGUUUUCAUAUGUCUACAUAUUUCCCUGCCAGUCCUUGUCUGUAUGCAUUUAUGUAACUUUUACAGAGUUAAUGUCAUCAUUAAGAUAAAAGCAUGUUUUUCUUUUUACUGAACAAUUCAUCAUAAUUAGGGACUUACUUGGCAGUCCAGUGGUUAAGACUCCUU